rnacentral:tRNA from 1 species
GGAAAGGUGGCUGAGUGGCUGAAAGCAGCAGUUUGCUAAAUUGCCGUGUCUUCAAAACACCGUGGGUUCGAAUCCCAUCCUUUCCU